AUUGAACGCUGGCGGCAGGCCUAACACAUGCAAGUCGAACGAGUGGCGGACGGGUGAGUAAUGUCUGGGAAACUGCCUGAUGGAGGGGGAUAACUACUGGAAACGGUAGCUAAUACCGCAUACCAUCGGAUGUGCCCAGAUGGGAUUAGCUAGUAGGUGGGGUAACGGCUCACCUAGGCGACGAUCCCUAUCUGGUCUGAGAGGAUGACCGGCCACACUGGAAAUGAUGCACGGUCCAGACUCCUACGGGAGGCAGCAGUGGGGAAUAUUGAACAAUGGGCGCAAGCCUGAUGAAGCCAUGCCGCGUGUAUGAAGAAGGCCUUCAGGUUGUAAAGUACUUACAGCGGGGAGGCGUUACCCGCAGAAGAAGCACCGGCUAACUCCGAGCCAGAAGCCGCGGUAAUUC
rnacentral:rRNA from 1 species